AGCGGAAGUGUUAUUGUAGCCAUUUCGACCGUGCCACAACGAUGCCGACAGCUCUCUUUGCCACCCCUACAACGUGCUUGUUCAAGCAGCUCCUUUUCUUUCAGGUUUUGUGCUUAGAAAGAGUGACAUGAUGCAGGAUGGAGUUGCGAGGAGUUCCCGGACACGGUCAGAGAUGGCUGGAACAGUCGGAUGGAUUUGCAAUCAUGCAAUAAAUGCCCACAUAAGACGCCAUGGUCAAAUGGUUGGAGAUCGUUGAGAGUUUGCAGCUAUUGAUGAAAGUUGUUUCCUUAAUAAAAGCAAGUAUCACCACAGAAGGGCCGGUGCAACAUGGCGACGGAAAAA